rnacentral:rRNA from 1 species
CCUACGGGGGGCUGCAGUGGGGAAUAUUGGACAAUGGGGGGAACCCUGAUCCAGCCAUGCCGCGUAUGUGAAGAAGGCCCUCGGGUUGUAAAGCACUUUCAGUGAGGAAGAACGCCUGGUGGUUAAUACCCAUCAGGAAAGACAUCACUCACAGAAGAAGCACCGGCUAACUCCGUGCCAGCAGCCGCGGUAAUACGGAGGGUGCGAGCGUUAAUCGGAAUUACUGGGCGUAAAGCGCGCGUAGGUGGCUUGAUAAGCCGGUUGUGAAAGCCCCGGGCUCAACCUGGGAACGGCAUCCGGAACUGUCAAGCUAGAGUGCAGGAGAGGAAGGUAGAAUUCCCGGUGUAGCGGUGAAAUGCGUAGAGAUCGGGAGGAAUACCAGUGGCGAAGGCGGCCUUCUGGACUGACACUGACACUGAGGUGCGAAAGCGUGGGUAGCAAACAGGAUUAGAUACCCCAGUAGUC